rnacentral:ribozyme from 1 species
ACAGAAAUUGUCCAAUCGGGAGAUUGGCAAGACGAUUGACAUUGUCCAGAAACGUUUUGAACACGAGGAGAAGAAACGAAAAUACGAGAUUCGGAAACUCGAGGAAAAGGAGAGAGCACUC